AGAAUCAACGCUGGCGGCGUGCCUAACACAUGCAAGUCGAACGAGAAAGUGGAGCAAUCCAUGAGUAAAGUGGCGCACGGGUGAGUAACACGUGACUAACCUACCUUUUAGUGGGGGAUAACCUAGGGAAACCUGGGCUAAUACCGCAUAAUACCUACGGGUCAAAGCAGCAAUGCGCUUGGAGAGGAGUUCGCGGCAGAUUAGUUAGUUGGCGGGGUAAUGGCCCACCAAGACGAUGAUCUGUA
rnacentral:rRNA from 1 species